UUGAAACACCGGUUCCAGUACGAUCACCGAGGUAAAGCAACGUCAAGCCUGGUCAGUACUUAGAUGGUUGACCACUUAGGAAUACCAGAUACUGUAA